CUCAGUAACACGUGGAUAACCUUCCCUUAGGACCGGAAUAACCCCGGGAAACUGGGGGAUAAUACCGGAUAAGCCAUAGACGCUGGAAUGCCCUAUGGUUCAAAGCUCCGGCGCCUAAGGAUGGAUCUGCGGUCUAUCAGGUUGUAGUGGGUGUAACGUACCUACUAGCCGACGACGGAUACGGGUUGUGAGAGCAAGAGCCCGGAGAUGGAUUUUGAGACACGAAUCCAGGCCCUACGGGGUGCAGCAGGCGCGAACACUUUACAAUGCGGGAAACCGCGAUAAGGGAACCCCGAGUGCCAGCAUCAAAUGUUGGCUGUCCAGAUGAUUAAAAAUCAUUUGUUAGCAAGGGCCGGGCAAGACCGGUGCCAGCCGCCGCGGUAACACCGGCGGCCCGAGUGGUAGCCGUUUUUAUUGGGUCUAAAGGGUCCGUAGCCGGCCUGAUAAGUCCUUUGGGAAAUCUGGCAGCUUAACUGUCAGGCUUCUAAGGGAUACUGUCAGGCUUGGGACCGGAAGAGGUAAGGGGUACUCCAGGGGUAGGAGUGAAAUCUUGUAAUCCCUCGGGGCCCAUCUGUGGCGAAGGCGCCUUACCAGAACGGGUCCGACGGUGAGGGACGAAAGCUAGGGGAGCAAACCGGAUUAGAUACCCGGGUAGUCCUAGCUGUAAACGAUGCUCGCUAGGUGUCAGACACGGUGCGACCGUGUUUGGUGCCGCAGGGAAGCCGUGAAGCGAGCCACCUGGGAAGUACGGUCGCAAGACUGAAACUAAAG
rnacentral:rRNA from 1 species